rnacentral:lncRNA from 12 species
AUAAUUUUCUGUGUUGGCAGUUUUUGCUCUCUUCCAGGAUAAACCCAGCACUCAGGGAGCUCCUGCCUGUUUGCACCCCCUGGCUGCCUCCAGCCCCAGAGAAUGAGCACCGAUUUAUCCUGGCAGGAGACCCGGACUGCAGCCUGGCAAUGGGGGAUGGAGCAGCUCUGGCCCCACAAAGCACACCUAUGGGAGGAGCUGUGAAUCUGAUGGGUUGGGAUCUUUCUCCUGCACUUUUUGAAGCAAAAC